rnacentral:rRNA from 1 species
UACGGAGGGUGCAAACGUUGCUCGGCAUUAUUGGGCGUAAAGCGCACGUAGGCGGCCGUCUAAGUCGGGUGUGAAAGCCCAGGGCUCAACCCUGGAAGUGCACUCGAAACUGGACGGCUUGAAUAUGGAAGAGGGUCGCGGAAUUCCCGGUGUAGAGGUGAAAUUCGUAGAUAUCGGGAGGAACACCAGUGGCGAAGGCGGCGACCUGGGCCAAUAUUGACGCUGAGGUGCGAAAGCGUGGGGAGCAAACAGG